AUGGAGGGAGAUCAGAGCUACAUGUACCAAAAGCUUCCUUGCAUUUGUUUAGGGAAAAAUGGCACAGUGGGUCCUGUUCCUGAUGAGAGAAAGUAUGAGGAGUCAGCCUCCUUGGUAACCAGCUAUAUGAGGGCCCGAGUGUGGAUGUGCUGUUGCUCCAUUUUGGACAGGGUGGAUAAGGACAGCACCCUAAGGUUCGCAGAUAUAAUCCAGAGGGAGUCCAGCCUCCCUGCCCUGGAGCGCCUGCAGCGGGUGAGGAACGAGAGGGAGGCUCCACCUGAGAGCACAGGGGAGUCCUGCUCCCCGCACCCACAGCGCCGAGGCCGGCUUCUGCCAUUUGUCCCUCUGAGGCAGCAGCAGUUCCUCCCAACGCGACCUUACCUUGUCCACACAUUUGCGUAAUGGCUACGGAUUAUCUUCUGGGAAGACAUUUUAAAGAACUGGUAUAGCAGCGAGAGGAGCGAUUUUCUCUCCAUAUGUUCGACAGGGACGCCCGAGAUUCUGGCCAACCGUGUUCUGAAGGAAUAUGGGGUUUGCUGCAAAUGCAGAAAGCUGCUGUAAGAUCUUACAGUUGGUGUGGGGGAGGUAUUAAAAAACACUAAUAUUUCUGGAAUGGAAGCUUUAACUGAAUGCAAAAAAGAUAUCAUAACCUAAAACAAAUUGCCUUUGAAAUCAAAUACAUCUUGUGCAGACAACCAGCCCAGCCCGGGCUUUUUGGUCGACUCUUUUCAAAAGAAUCCCCACUGAAGGGUGAGUUGUUGCACUGGCUCUGAAUCUGCGGCGUCUUUCUCUUCCCUGGUACGGCAGUAGGCAAAGAUCUUAGAAGCAGAGCUGGGGAGGAGGUACACUUGAAAGUCUUCGGGCUCCUUCAGGAUCUUUCAGGAUUCUCUCAUGUUGCAAGGUUAAGUACCAUUUAAAAAAAAUUGAGAUGAAAAAAACGUAACAAAAAACUAACCAUUUUAAAGUGAAUAACUCAAUGGCAUCUAUAUAUUCACUAUGUUGUGCAACGACGUGGUUCCAACACAUUUUCAUCAUCCCAAAAGGAAACCCCGUAGCUGGUAAGCAGUUAGUCCUCAUUCUCCCCUCUUCCCACCCCUGGCAACCACCAAUCUGCUUUCUACCUCCAUGGAAGUAUCUUUUCUGAAAUGUUUCACAUACAUGGAACCAUACAAUACAUGACCUUUGGCAUCUGGCUCCUUCCAUUCAGCAUAAUGUUUCUGAGUUUCAUCCACGUUGUAGCAUCUGCCAGGGCUUCUUUCCUUUUCAUGGCUGCAUCAUAUUCCAUUAAAUGUAUAUGCCAUAAUUUGUUUACUCAUUCAUCUGCUGGAGGUCAUUUGGGUUGUUUCUGCCUUUGCCUAUUGUAAGUGGUAUUGCUAUGAACAAG
ensembl:lncRNA